CCCCGGAACGCGCCGUGUGGCUCGUGGAAGGCUGGAGAGUGCCCGUGCUGCUGGCCCCCCCCCCAGCCUCCCUGCAGAGCUGUUACGUUAGGUACCACCUUCCACAUGCCCCAUAGAAGAUGGCAGGAACAGCUCCUGAUGCUGCUGAGAAACAGGUUGUCAUCCAGUCCAGCGCCCACAAAGACACCAUCCUGGCCAACUUAGAAGAACAAAGGAGAAAGGAUUUCCUUUGUGACAUUACCCUGAUCGUGGAGGACGUGCAGUUCAGAGCCCACAAAGCCUUGCUUGCUGCCAGCAGUGAGUACUUCUCCAUGAUGUUUGUGGAGGAGGGGGAGGUAGGACAGUCCAUCUACGUGCUGGAGGGGAUGGUUGCAGACACCUUCGGGGCGCUGCUGGAGUUCAUCUACACCGGUUGCCUCCGCGCCAGUGAGAAGAGCACAGAGCAGAUUCUGGCCACGGCACAGCUGCUGAAAGUGAAUGACUUGGUAGGGGCUUGUGCAGGCUGUGGGGGUGGCCGUGGCCCAGGGGAUGGCUCAGCAGCUCUGGGCAACAGUGGAGCCUCUGGAGCUGUUACCUCCAGUGACACCAACAGCCACGAGCCACCCAAGCGGAAACGAGGGCGGCCCAGGAAAGUCAGGAGCAUCCAAGAAGAAAACCCAGCCACGAAUCCUGCUGAAGACGUGCAGCUGAGGGAGAACAACUCCAUGCAGAACAAGCAGAAUUUCAUGAAAGGAGACACCACGGAAGAAGAAGCAGGUGUUGGUGACCAAGCUGCAGCCAGGAAGGAUGCAGAAGAGACUGAGCCUGCCCGUGGCUCUGAAGCUGCAGCCGACCUGUCAGCUGAGAAGGAUGAGAAUUAUGAUCCCAAAUCUGAGGGGAUACAGAGCACCCAGAGCCGUUACAGCAAACGUAGAAUAAGGAGAUCAAUCAAACUGCAAGAUUACAAACUUCUCGGGGAGGAGGAUGAAAAAGGACUGGCAAAGAGGGCUUGUGGCAAGAGAAAACGUGCAGGUCCCGAAGCUCGCUGUAAGGACUGUGGCAAAGUAUUUAAAUAUAAUCACUUCUUAGCUAUUCACCAGCGGAGUCACACGGGGGAGCGCCCUUUCAAGUGCACAGAGUGUGGCAAAGGCUUUUCCCAGAAGCAUUCCCUGCAAGUCCACCAGCGGAUGCACACAGGGGAGCGGCCCUACAGCUGCACUGUCUGCAGCAAGGCUCUGACAACAAAGCAUUCUCUUCUGGAGCAUAUGAGCCUUCAUACAGGGCAGAAGGCUUUUACAUGUGAUCAGUGUGGGAAAUACUUCAGCCAGAAGAGGCAGCUCAAGAGCCACUACCGAGUGCACACAGGCCGCUCCCUGCCCGAGUGCAGCCAGUGUCGCCGCAGGUUCAUGGAUGCAGCUCAGUUAAAGAAACAUCUAAGGACACACACAGGUGAGAAGCCCUUCACUUGUGAAAUUUGUGGCAAAUCCUUUACAGCUAAAAGUUCUCUUCAGACUCACAUUCGAAUUCACAGAGGAGAAAAGCCAUAUUCUUGUGGUAUUUGUGGGAAAUCCUUCUCUGAUGCCAGUGCUAAGAGAAGACACUAUAUCUUACACACGGGCAAAAAGCCUUUCUCCUGCCCAGAAUGUAGUUUGCAGUUUGCUCGACUGGACAACCUGAAGUCUCAUUUGAAGAUUCACAGCAAGGAGAAGCAGUUCCAGGAGGUCAGCACUGCCCAGGGCACCAACACCAGUGCACAAGUGAGGAACAUCCUUCAGCUGCAGCAGUAUCAGCUUGCCACCUCUGGAGGGCAGGAAAUCCAGCUCCUGGUCACAGAUGCAGUCCAUAAUAUCAACUUUGUGCCUAGCCAUAACCAAGGCAUCAGAAUUGUCACUGCAGAAGGUGCCCCAAACAUGGCCCCAGAGCAGGCUGCAAACCUCACCCUCCUGGCUCAGCCACCACAGCAGCUGCAGAACUUGUUGCUUUCAGCUCAGCAGGAGCCAGCAGAACAAAUCCAAAGCAUCAAUGUGAUUGCAAACGAAAUAGAGCCUGCCCAGCCUGAGCAGAUGCACGUCAUCACUCUCUCCAAGGAAGCCCUGGAACAUCUCCAUGCUCAUCAAGGUCAAAAUGAAGAAAUCCACUUGGCAGGAUCUUCACACCCAGCUCAGCACGUGCAGUUGACUCAGCAGUCUAGUCAACAGUCUCAGCCUCCCCAAGAGACAGUUCCUUCCCAUCCAGUCAGUGAGGAACCCAAUCAAAGUGUCCAUGUUUCUGAACCCCACCAGCAGUCUCUGCCAGUAAAUGACUCAUCUCCUGAGCAUCCUGUUCCAGGACAGGCUUUCUGAAAUGCUUGUUUCUCAUCAGCAUCCUUCCCACCCAGGCAGGGAUUGCACCUUUGGCAUUUUCUUUUCUGCAGCACAAUCUGAAGAUGUGCUUCUUGGUGAUUUUUGAUGGGUGGCUUUCAGUUCUCUUGACCUUAUUUAUUUUAGACCACUUAUUUUCCCAGCUCGGUACAUCUCUACCACCUAGUCCAUACCUCAGAAGCAAUUCAUGUGGUUUUUUCUUCCUCAUACACAUCCAUGCCUACUGAGGAGUUAUUUGAAGCUUGAUUUGCAUUUCUUUGUGACCCCCCAGAGAAGGGUACCUUGCUGGGUACUGUGUUGAAGAUGUUGGGGGAAACAGCAACAAGGAUGAGGAAAAGGCUGAGGUACUUAAUGCCUUCUUUGCCUCUGUCUUUAGUAGUAAGCCCAGUUGUUCUCUUAGCCCCCUGAGCUGGAAGACAGGGAUGGGGAGCAGGAUGUAGCCCCCAUAAUGCAAGGGGAGAACAAGAGGAAAUGGCCUCAACUUGCACCAGGGGAGGUUUAAAUUAGGAUAUUAGGAAGAAUUUCUGUACUGAAUGGGUUUUCAGGCACUGGAACAGGCUGCCCUGGGAGGUGGUGGAGUCACUAUCCCUGGAGGGGUGCAAAAAACAUGGAGAUGUGGUGUUUAUGGACAUGGCUGAGUGGUGGACUUGACAGUGCUGGGUUCAUGGUUGGACUGGAUGAUCUUAAAAGUCUUUUCCCACCAAAAUGAUUCUGUGACUGCUCUGAUGGAGUCAGCAUUACCUGAACUACUGUCAGGUAACCAGCACUGUGUGCAAAGCUAACACCACAUCUUUCUCUUUGCAUAGUUUGCUCUGUGAUCAUUCCCUGAGGUGCAUCUUGACUCCCUGACCACCAGAUCUGUUUGUUUCCAGCUGGAACUGCUGCAGCCUUUGCCUGGCCCUGCAAUCUCCCCCUUGCUGCUCUGUCCCAGUGCUGUUCCCCAGCCAGGCCUUGGCCUUGCCCUCAAGGUGUGGUGGUUACACUGGACAGCUGGCAAGCCCCAGUUCUGCUCUGCUGGUUCUGCCACUCACUGUGGGACUGUGGGCAGGGUAGCUGACCUCUGUGCCUUAGUUUGGUCCUCUGGGAAGCAAGGAUAGUGUUGACACUCUUUGCCAAGCACUUUGAAGAGCUCUUGGUGUUGAAGGCACUGUCCACUGAAGAGCAAAAUUCUCUUCAUGACAGGACUCAGUCUAAUCUUAGGAGCCAGUGUGUAUGUAAAGUGUUAUUUUUUUUGUACUUUUCAGGGCAGAAUGUAAUGUUACUUUUAAUAUAUGUUAUGGCUGGUCAUUGUUUGGGUUUGGGUUUUUUUGUGGGGAUUUAAUUAAUAGAAUCACUUCUCAGAGCAUAAUGAGCUCUGUAAAUGGGGCAUAUCAUGGUGAAGUUGUACAGCUAUUUUUGCUGACUCCAUCAGUGUGUACAGAUUGUUUUCAAUGACUGCUAACAAAGAGGUUUGACACCUUAAUAAAAGACCAUGCCAGGAAAACAUGCUCUGCAUUUCCAGGUGACGUCUCUGGUGGAGCCCUGGUGUGUUAAGAAUCCAGACCUGAUGCCACUGGUACUUAAGCAAGGUGCUCAGUCAUCACUUCAGUUUGAAAACGUCAUCCUUGUGAUUUACAUGGAGAUUUUGUGUUUUAACAAAUGGAAAAUGUAAAAACUGAGGAAUGAGCAGGUGAAUUUAAAAGCAAAACAAAAGGUCUUUGUACAUGCUUGGUUUCUGUGACUGCCCAGAGAAAGUCACUGGCAUAAAAAGCCAGUGCAUAGAAUGAUAGACCAGUUUAAGGUGAGGGGACUUCCAGAGGCCACCUGGGUCAUCACCUUCCUCAAAACAGGUGCACCUAGAUCACGUUGCUGUGGUCUGGUUGAGUUUUGAAGGCCUGCAGGGCUGGAGAGCCACAGCUUGUCUAGGCCACCAGUUCCAGUGGUUGACCAUAGUCACAGUGAAAAAAUACUUCUAUAUUGAACUAAAUUUCCCAUGUUCCUGUUUGUGACAACUGCCCCUCAUCCUGCAGCUGUGCCUCCAGCAAGUGUCUGCUCUACACUGUCCCAAAGGACAAAGGCUGAGGGAGUUGGGGUGUUCAGCCUGGAGAAGAGAAGGCUCCAGGGAGACCUGAGAGCACCUUCCAGUGCCUGAAGGGGCUCCAGGAAAGCUGGGAAGGGGCUUGGGACAAGGGCAGGGAGGGAGAGGACAAGGGGGAUGGAUGAAAACUGGAGGAGGGGAGAUUGAGGUGAGACAUGAGGAGGAAAUUCUGGAGUGUGAGGGCAGGAAGGUGCUGGAACAGGUUGUCCAGGAGGUUGUGGCUGCCCCAUCCCUGGGAGUGUGAUGUGCAGCCCUAGUCUGGUCCCAAGUCAGCAGGAGCUUGCACUGAGUUCCUUCUCUGCCAUGUGUUCAUGGAUCCUGAAAUGCCUGGAAGCUGCUUACAAGCUGAAUUCUGAGAAUGCCACUAAAGUAACUGUCAAAUACUUCCCUCUUUUUUUUGAACUUGGGUUUGUUCAUUAGGAAGGCCUUGUAGGAUGACGUGUGAUGGUCCCAUGGUGCCUGAGCCCCUGUCCCCUGCUGCUUGCUCAGUGCUUCUCUGUGACUAAACAGGAUCAAGGUUUGGGGUUGGAAUUUUCUUCGCUUUUCUACCAAAUGAGCAGCAAGACACGAGCUGCUGGGAGCAGCACAGCAGGGUCUCAUUGCUCAGGCUGCCAGGAUGGUUGCUGUUUGCUCCUGUCCUGCUGUGCUGGGAUGCAGUGACACAUUUAUUUAUUAUUUUUUAGUCCUUUCCCACUUCCAGCUGGCAUGGGAUUCGCUCCUGGUCACGGACCCGUUGCCCCCCUGAGUGCAGCAGCCUGGUCCAUUUUCUGUCUCCCCAGCCCUUCCAGCUCUGCACAGACUGUCUCACUAUCCAAGUGUCCACCUCCAGGAGAAGCUGAGUCCAACCUGGGAGUGGCUGGGAGGAGACCAGUUUGCAAAGCAGAAAAAGGAGUAACAGAAACAGAGAGAGAAAGGAGCCAGUUGUGUGUAUGUGCAGAGUUCAAUUUCAGGAACAGAAUUUGUGUGUAAACAUAAAAACUUCUAUGAAAUGCAGGUAUCAGACUGUUUUGUUGUGGUUGUUUUUUUGGUUUAUUUAAAUACUAUGCAGUGCAUUGCUCUGGUUUUCAUACUUUUGUAGUGCAAAAAGGAGGGAAGGGACAUUUCCAAAGGCCAAAUAAACUUCUGUUGUAUUAAUCUC